AUACGGAGGGUCCAAGCGCUAUCCGGAAUCAUUGGGUUUAAAGGGUCCGCAGGCGGCCAAUUAAGUCAGAGGUGAAAGCCCAUCGCUCAACGAUGGAACUGCCUUUGAUACUGGUUGACUUGAGUUAUACGGAAGUAGGUAGAAUAAGUAGUGUAGCGGUGAAAUGCAUAGAUAUUACUUAGAAUACCGAUUGCGAAGGCAGUCUACUACGUAUAUACUGACGCUGAGGGACGAAAGCGUGGGGAGCGAACAGGAUUAGAAACCCCAGUAGUCC
rnacentral:rRNA from 1 species